rnacentral:lncRNA from 1 species
AUUAUUUCAAUAUGAAACGUUUAAUGUAUUAAGCCAAAAAAAACGUGUUUCACUGGAUUACAAUUUUGCCUUUGCACGUAGACAUUCAAUAUUUUUUUUGUAUAAUUUUAAUAAAAAUGGCGGGUAAUUAUAUUCAUUUUCAUUGUCAUUCUAAAUGCACUGUAAAGAAUGGGCGAGUUAAGUUAGUCAUCCAGGAGAUUUAUCAAACAAUUCAAAAUCAAUUAUUUUAUGUACUUAGGGUAUUGUGUUUUGUAUAGUUUUUGUAUGCGCUUUAAUAUUUUAAUAUUUUUAUACGACCCCAAAAAUUGAAAAUUUUUUGGUCGUAUAUUGGUAUCACGUUGGCGUCGUCGUCUUUGUCGUCCGUAGUCGUCGUCGUCGUCGUUUUCGCACUAUAACUUUAGUAUAAGGGAAUAGAAAUCUAUGAAAUUUAAACACAAGGUCUAUGACCAUAAAAGGAAGGUUGGGAUAGAUUUUGGAAGUUUUGGUCCCAACAGUUUAGGAAUUAAGGGCCAAAAAGGGCCCAAAUAAGCAUUUUAUUUGUUUUCGCACUAUAACUUUAGUUUAAGUGAAUAGAAAUCUAUGAAAUUUUGACACAAGGUUUAUGACCACUAAAGGAAGGUUGGGAUUGAUUUUGGGAGUUUUGUCCCAUCAGUUUAGGAAUUAGGGGGCAAAAAAAGAGCCCAAAUAAGCAUUAUUCUUGGUUUUCGCUCAAUAACUUUAGUAUAAGUAAAUAGACAUCAAUGAAAUUUAAACACAAGGUUUAUGAACUCAAAAGGAAGGUUGGGAUUGAUUUUGGGAGUUGAGCUUCAAACAGUUGUGGAAUUAGGGACCAAAAAGGGGCCAAAAUAAGCAUUUUUCUUGGUUUUCGCACCAUAACUUAAGUAUAGAUAAAUAGAAAUCUAUGAAAUUAAACACAAGGUUUAUGACCAUAAAAGGAAGG